UGCAGGGAGAGGCGGAGGCGGAGCCAAGAGCGCACCGCCGCGCCCGCAGUGCCGGGCCUGAGCUGGAGCCGGGCGUGAGUCGCAGCAGGAGCCGCAGCCGGAGUCACAGCCGCAGCCAGAGCCUCAGCCAGAGCCACAGCCAAAGCCUCAGAGAGCAGGAGUUGGAGCGCAGGCCCUGCUGGAACCGCGCCUAGCUCGCCGCCAGGCACCGGCCGGAGCACGGGCCGUGGUGUCAGCUCACUGCCCAGGCGCUGUGGGAGGCAGCGAACCCGCGACCCCCCGGGCCGGGCACCACCAGGCGCGGAGCCCAGAUCGCCCCCCUGCCAGGCCUGGUCACGGCCAGAGCACGCAGGAGUUCCCAGGGUCUGGAUCUGCGCGCACCCUAAUGACCUGGGGACUGAAGAGAAAAAAGGAACGAGGAUUUCAUCUAAAAGCAUAACGUGGAUACUAGGCGAGGAAGAGAGUGGAGACCACCUGGCACGGGGCAGAGGUGCCUGGAGCCCACGCUUGAGCAUCGGAGACCCUGGCAUCCUAGCAGCCGCGACCUUGGCUCUGCACUGUCUGAGCUGGAAACACAGCUUAGCUUCUAGACAUCGCUGGCACAGGCCUGGCACAAGUAAGCAGUGUUCUCACCUGUCUGAAACGGGACACGGGGUCGGAGGAACCAGGAUCUAGCCUGGCCCCAAGCGGAACUCUCUGGUGGCUCAGAGGUCGUCACUGGGGAGCCCGCCUCCUGCCCUAGCCUCACUGGUGCGGAUGUGCCGCUGCCCGCCGGAGCACCAUGAUGGCAGGAUGACCUCAGCCGAAGUAGCAGCAGCAGCUGGUGGUGCUCAGGCGGCUGGGCCCCCCGAGUGGCCCCCUGGCAGCCCUCAGGCCCUCCGGCAGCCUGGCCGGGCCCGGGUGGCCAUGGCAGCACUGGUGUGGCUGCUGGCGGGAGCCAGCAUGUCAAGCCUCAACAAGUGGAUCUUCACAGUGCACGGCUUUGGGCGGCCCCUGCUGCUGUCGGCCCUGCACAUGCUGGUGGCAGCCCUGGCAUGCCACCGGGGGGCACGGCGCCCCAUGCCAGGCGGCACUCGCUGCCGAGUCCUACUGCUCAGUCUCACCUUUGGCACUUCUAUGGCCUGCGGCAACGUGGGCCUAAGGGCUGUACCCCUGGACCUAGCACAACUGGUCACUACCACCACACCUCUGUUCACCCUGGCCCUGUCGGCACUGCUACUGGGCCGCCGCCACCACCCGCUUCAGUUGGCCGCCAUGGGCCCGCUCUGCCUGGGGGCCGCUUGCAGCCUGGCUGGAGAGUUCCGGACACCCCCCACCGGCUGUGGCUUCCUGCUCGCAGCCACCUGCCUCCGCGGACUCAAGUCGGUUCAGCAAAGUGCCCUGCUGCAGGAGGAGAGGCUGGACGCGGUGACCCUGCUCUAUGCCACCUCGCUGCCCAGCUUCUGCCUGCUGGCGGGUGCAGCCCUGGUGCUGGAGGCUGGCGUCGCCCCACCGCCCACUGCUGGUGACUCUCGCCUCUGGGCCUGCAUCCUGCUCAGCUGCCUCCUGUCGGUUCUCUAUAACCUGGCCAGCUUCUCCCUGCUGGCCCUCACCUCUGCCCUCACCGUCCACGUCCUGGGCAACCUCACCGUGGUGGGCAACCUCAUCCUGUCCCGGCUGUUGUUUGGCAGCCGCCUCAGUGCCCUCAGCUACGUGGGCAUCACACUGACUCUUUCAGGAAUGUUCCUUUACCACAACUGCGAGUUCGUGGCCUCCUGGGCUGCCCGUCGGGGGCUGUGGCGGAGGGACCAGCCCAGCAAGGGUCUUUGAGACCUGGGGGAUCUCAGGAGCCACCUGGGAUGGCCCUGGCCUGAAUCCAGCCUCUGCCGUGGCCAUAGAAGGAAUGGAGAACAGGGCUGGGCAUGGUGGCUCACGCCUAUAAUCCCAGCACUUCCAGAGUCCAAGCUACCUCUCCUGGAGACCACCUGUUAAAGAUGAUAAGGACCCAGGUUGGAGUGAGAACACCUGGAACCUAAUCCUGCUCUGCCCACCUGACUGGGAGCCUCCCCUCCCUAGGCCUCAGCUUCCAGAUCUGCAAAAUGGAACUGAUGAUCCCUAUGGACAGGGUUCGAAUGAGGAGCACUGGGCAGGGCCAGGAGUGAGGAAGGAGGUAAUGGCACCAACUGGCUCUGCUUUUAUCUUGGGGUAUUCACCCAACCUUUCUGGAAACCAUCUGCAAAAUGUCUCACAUUUGUGUGAGGACCAGGAGCUAGACCAGGCUGGGGCUGUGGUCUAGGGAGACUGAGAUUCAGGGAGGAAUCAUUCAGAUUCAGUAACCAGAAUUCGUAAGAGACCACAGUGCCAGCCAGUGCUAGGCAGGGCUGAGUAAAGGGCCAGCCCACGGCGGGGUGGGAGUGGGUAGGGAAGGCCUAGGAGGACCGGUAUGGGGUUUCCUGGCCCCAGCCUCCGCCCAGGCUGCCUUACAGAAGGGGAAGUCGGCCUGGGCUGAGUCACCUGUCACCCGCCCUCUCUAUGACUCAGAGAUGCCGCUGGCCCAGCCCAGUCCCUGAGCAGCUUGGGUACCUCUGGCCUCCACUCUCAGGCUUUGCCAGGCAGGAUGGAGGGAUGGAUGGCUGUGGUCAAAUCCUCCUCGGUGACUCAGGACCCUUUCCCAUCCAAUGGGCCCCCACUGCCAUAGCAGGGACCUCCCUGUAACACCCUCAUUUCUAGGCCUUGUGGGAUACUUGGCUAAUGAGUGAGCCUCACAUCAGAUUAAAGCCUGCCCCUGGUGGUUGUGGGGACAGGUAAUUGGGGUUGUGUGUGACCUGGGAGCUGGUUUGUCACCAGAUUCAGGACCAUUAGACAUUGAGGUGAUUCCCCCAAGGCCACGGCCAAAGCCAUCCCUAUCACCCCUCCCAGCAGUGGGCACAGAGAGUGCUGGAUUGGGAGUCAAAAAGCCUGGGUUUGGCAGGAUGUGGUGGCUCACGCCUGUAAUCCCAGUACUUUGGGAGGCCAAGGGGGGCGGAUCACCUGAAGUCAGGAGUUCAAGACCAGCCUGGCCAGCAUGGUGAAACCCCAUCUCUACUAAAAAUACAAAAAUUAGCUGGGCAUGGUGGCAGGCGCCUGUAAUCCCAGCUACUUGGGAGGCUGAGGCAGGAGAAUCGCUUGAACCUGGGAGGCGGAGGUUGCAGUGAGCCGAGAUCGUGCCAUUGCACUCUAGCCUGGGGGACAAGAGCAAGACAU